CAGUCGCCACGGGAAUACGUAGGUGGCAAGCGUCGUCCGGAAUUAUUGGGCGUAAAGGGCUCGCAGGCGGUUUCUUAAGUCUGAUGUGAAAGCCCCCGGCUCAACCGGGGAGGGUCAUUGGAAACUGGGAAACUUGAGUGCAGAAGAGGAGAGUGGAAUUCCACGUGUAGCGGUGAAAUGCGUAGAGAUGUGGAGGAACACCAGUGGCGAAGGCGACUCCCUGGUCUGUAACUGACGCUGAGGAGCGAAAGCGUGGGGAGCGAACAGGAUUAGAUACCCCAGUAGUCCCUGUCUCUUAUAC
rnacentral:rRNA from 1 species